GCCUAACACAUGCAAGUCGAGCGGCAGCGACAACAUUGACCCUUCGGGUGAUUUGUUGGGCGGCGAGCGGCGGACGGGUGAGUAAUGCCUGGGAAUAUGCCCUGAUGUGGGGGAUAACCAUUGGAAACGAUGGCUAAUACCGCAUAAUCUCUUCGGAGCAAAGAGGGGGACCUUCGGGCCUCUCGCGUCAGGAUUAGCCCAGGUGAGAUUAGCUUGUUGGUGAGGUAAGAGCUCACCAAGGCAACGAUCUCUAGCUGGUCUGAGAGGAUGAUCAGCCACACUGGAACUGAGACACGGUCCAGACUCCUACGGGAGGCAGCAGUGGGGAAUAUUGCACAAUGGGGGAAACCCUGAUGCAGCCAUGCCGCGUGUAUGAAGAAGGCCUUCGGGUUGUAAAGUACUUUCAGUUGUGAGGAAGGCGUUGUCGUUAAUAGCGGCAGUGUUUGACGUUAGCAACAGAAGAAGCACCGGCUAACUCCGUGCCAGCAGCCGCGGUAAUACGGAGGGUGCGAGCGUUAAUCGGAAUUACUGGGCGUAAAGCGCAUGCAGGCGGCUUGUUAAGCCAGAUGUGAAAGCCCGGGGCUCAACCUCGGAAUAGCAUUUGGAACUGGCAGGCUAGAGUCUUGUAGAGGGGGGUAGAAUUUCAGGUGUAGCGGUGAAAUGCGUAGAGAUCUGAAGGAAUACCGGUGGCGAAGGCGGCCCCCUGGACAAAGACUGACGCUCAGAUGCGAAAGCGUGGGGAGCAAACAGGAUUAGAUACCCUGGUAGUCCACGCCGUAAACGAUGUCUACUUGGAGGCUGGAACCUUGAGUUCUGGCUUUCGGAGCUAACGCGUUAAGUAGACCGCCUGGGGAGUACGGUCGCAAGAUUAAAACUCAAAUGAAUUGACGGGGGCCCGCACAAGCGGUGGAGCAUGUGGUUUAAUUCGAUGCAACGCGAAGAAC
rnacentral:rRNA from 1 species